AUGGAUAUCAACCGGGGCUUGGGUGCUGGCCUCAUCCGACUCGUCUUCCACGACUGCUUCGUCAGGGGUUGCGAUGGAUCCGUGUUGCUUGACAGCACGCCCAAAAACACCACCAGCAAUGAUCCCCUGACGCUCGCUGGGAAGACGGAGAAGGCGUCGCCAAGCAACGGCGGCCUGCGUGGCCUCGAGGUGAUCGACGCCAUCAGGCUCAGGCUCGCCGAAAAGGAUAUCGGUGUCAACGUCUCCUGCGCCGACGCCGUCGUGUUCGCCGCCCGCGAGGCCACCUACAUCCUGAGCAACAACACAAUCAAAUACGAAGUGGACGGGCCCGGCCGCAAGGACGGCGUCGUCUCGUCGGCAGAGGACCCGGGAAAACACCUCCCUAACCCCACCGACAACUUCCAGCAGCUCCUGCAAAGCUUCAUGGCCAAGGGCUUCAACCUGGUGGAGCUCGUCGCCCUCUCCGGCGCACACUCUGUCGGCAUCGCCAACCUAACGUCGGUCAUACACCGAUUCGGAACUCCGAUCAUCCACGGUGAGAUGAACAAAACGUACGGUGCAGUCGUUGCAGCCGAAGGGCCGAAGCACUCUGGUGUGAUAGAGAACAACGUCCGUGACUUCGACGAUUCGAGCCGUAAGCUGGCUGGUUACCAGGCCAAUGGGGUGGUGGACUUGGCGGCGGUGGGCUACCUAGACAACAGCUACUACAACGCCAACUUACAGAACAUGGUGCUCUUCAAGUCAGACUGGGAGCUGACGCAGAACGGCACCGCAGAAGAGCACAUGAAAUCGUACAAGAAGAAAGCCAGUUUGUGGAACACAGCCUUCGCCAACGCCAUGACCAAGCUCAGCAAGAUGGUCGAGUCCAAGGACCCACUUUACGAUAUACCUGGCCAAACGGGCCGGCCCGGCCCGGCACGGCCCGGCCCAUCGUAA
rnacentral:rRNA from 1 species